rnacentral:lncRNA from 7 species
GAUCAGCAAAGAAAGUCUGAUGAUUCAACAUGUAGUCGGUUGCUCUCACGUUCACACCAAAGGUACCGAACUUAUAUGGAAGACCCUAAGUGGUAAGACCCAUGCCUACUGGAAAUGGAAUCUUCUGCUUCUGGGAACUUCUCUGCUCCACAAACAGUCACGCCCUGGAUCUGCAGACUGCCAUCAACACCUGCUCUCCUGCAGUGCCUGGUGCUCCAGAAACCCCAGGCUGCCCGUUGUGAGGCCAGGGAUGCGCAGCUUUCCCAGAGCCAGGCAUUUUACAUUGUUUGUAGUCUGCAUUUUGGAGUCAUUACUCAGUGGUACAAGAGAUGCAAUUGUCACUGCGGUUGGAAGCCAAUCAACGCGUUGUGAGUGGGAGCCCGCUGGUACUUUCCAAUGGUCCUUGAUUAAAAAGGAAGCUCUUGGCUAUCUUCAAGCAGCAGGAGAGGAAACAGCACGGAGAAGGACUUGGAGGACUGGGAGAAGGCAGCAAAAUGCUUCUGCUCUGGUGAUCAGCGACGAUGUGGUGGCCGCAGAUGUCAGCUGAGAGUUGUUUUAUAAAAUGAAUCUCUGUAAGCUGCUGCUCUACGGGGAUCAACAAGAACAGAAGAGCCGUGAAUUCAAGGCCACCUUGGGAUGAUUUUUCUAGGACAUGGAGUCUCUGCAGUGCCAAGGGACCUCCAUUAGCCCAAACAGCUAAAGCAUUCCAUCUAGAGUCCCUGCUCUAAUGUAGGCUGGUACAUGUCUCGAAACGCAUAAGAAUUCAGGACUUUUAUCUGUAGGAAUGUAUCAAGCUGAACUUGAUGCUAUUGCCUCAGCAGUAGUUACAUGGAACUGAGGAAAGAGGGAAGCUGCUAUGUGUCAUCUACUUAUGGAAGUAAACGUCCUUUGAUUUCACAUCUUCUGAAGGAGCGAUGACCUUUAAAAUCAUGAAGCUACAUUCAGAAGUUCUUACCCUAAGACUGCGUGUGAGCUAGUACCACUGAAAUCAAUGGGAGUCCUUUCAGUGUUUCAAAAUCGGCUUUUAUUCAAAAUCAGGAAUUUUUCCCCCUCUUCCUUUAAGGAAAAAAAAGACCCAAGUUUUUUGUUUUCCAACCCAUGUGUUAACUUGUCAGAUCAGUUGUCAGGCUGAGGUAGAAGCUGAAAGCUUAAUCAUUGUGCUUCUUAUUUUUUAUUUAGAAUUGUAUUUAUUUACUCUUUGUUUCGUCGAGUCUGUUAUCUUAGCAAGAGGAAUUCAUCUUCCAGCAGGGUUAGAAACUUCUCUUCUAAUGUCAAAUUUGCCAUUGCAAACACCUACACUUACCAUGAGUUCUCCCUUACUGCACAUCUGCUGUGCUGCUCUGUCACCCUCUGUCUCUAUUUUGAAUUCUAGUAGCACUAAAAAAAAAGAAAAGAAAAAAAAAAAGACUUUAUCCAAGAUUUCAGUGUUAAUUGUGACAUCGUAUUUUGCUUCAAUG